GAUAGCGAACAAGUACCGUGAGGGAAAGAUGAAAAGAACUUUGAAAAGAGAGUUAAACAGUAUGUGAAAUUGUUAAAAGGGAACCGUUUGGAGCCAGACUGGCUUGACUGUAAUCAAUCUAGGCUUCGGCCUGGAUGCACUUGCGGUUUAUGCCUGCCAACGACAAUUUUUUUUGAGGGAAAAAACUAUUAGGAAUGUGGCCCCUUUCGGGGGGUGUUAUAGCCUUUUAGAAAAUACCUUGAAUUGGAUUGAGGAACGCAGUGAAUGCCUUUAGGCAAGAUUGCUGGGUGCUUUCGUUGAUAAAUGCUAGAAUUUCUGCCUUGGGUGGUGCUAGUGUUUAAAGAUGGAACUCGCCUAGUAUAUUUUUUAUUCGCUUAGGUUGUUGGCUUAAUGACUCUAAAUGACCCGUCUUGAAACACGGACCAAGGAGUCCACCAUUAGUGCGAGUAUUUGGGUGACAAACCCAUAUGCGUAAGGAAACUGAUUGAUACGAAAUCUUUAAGAUGGCAGUAUCACCCGGCGAUGACGUUUUAUACUGAACCGACCGAGGUAAAGCACUAAUGAUGGGACCCGAAAGAUGGUGAACUAUGCCUGAAUAGGGUGAAGCCGGAGGAAACUCCGGUGGAGGCUCGUAGCGAUUCUGACGUGCAAAUCGAUCGUCAAAUUUGGGUAUAGGGGCGAAAGACUAUA
rnacentral:rRNA from 1 species